rnacentral:miRNA from 1 species
AACUUGCACUUUGACAAUUUUUUCUAUGACAAGUGCACUUGUUCAAAAGCUAGCAUGCUAGCUUUUGAACAAGUGCACUUGUCAUAGAAAAAAUGUCAAAGUUGCACGUA